CCUACGGGUGGCAGCAGUGAGGAAUAUUGGUCAAUGGGCUUACGCCUGAACCAGCCAAGUCGCGUGAGGGAAGACUGCCCUAUGGGUUGUAAACCUCUUUUGUCCGGGGGCAAUUGGCGCUACGUGUAGCGUUAUCGAGAUUACCUGUAAAAAAAGCAUCGGCUAACUCCGUGUCAGCAGCCGCGGUAAUACGGAGGAUUCGAGCGUUAUCCGAAUUUAUGGGGUUUAAGGGGUGCGUAGGCGGAAUGACAAGUCAGCGGGAAAAUCGCGGGGCUCAACCUCGCUCCGCCGUUGAAACUGGCGUUCUUGAGUGGGCGGGAGGCAUGCGGAAUGCGUGGUGUAGCGGUGAAAUGCAUAGAUAUCACGCAGAACUCCGAUUGCGAAGGCAGCAUACCGGAGCCCAACUGACGCUGAAGCACGAAAGCGUGGGUAUCGAACAGGAUUAGAUACCCGUGUAGUC
rnacentral:rRNA from 1 species